UACGGGGGGAGCAAGCGUUGUUCGGAUUUACUGGGCGUAAAGGGCGCGUAGGCGGCCACCGCAAGUCGAUUGUGAAAUCUCCGGGCUUAACCCGGAAAGGUCAACCGAUACUGCGGGGCUAGAGUGCAGAAGGGGCAACUGGAAUUCUCGGUGUAGCGGUGAAAUGCGUAGAUAUCGAGAGGAACACCUGCGGCGAAGGCGGGUUGCUGGGCUGACACUGACGCUGAGGCGCGAAAGCGUGGGGAGCGAACAGG
rnacentral:rRNA from 1 species